UAAAGGAAUUGGCGGGGGAGCACCACAAGGGGUGAAGCCUGCGGUUUAAUUAGACUCAACGCUCGGAAACUUACCAGGGGCGACAGCUCAAUGACGGUCAGACUGACGAUCUUACCUGAGUAGCUGAGAGGAGGUGCAUGGCCGUCGCCAGUUCGUGCCGUGAGGUGUCCAGUUAAGUCUGGCAACGAACGAAACCCGCGCCACUAGUUGCCACCAGGCCCCACACGGGGUGCUGAGCACACUAGUGGGAUUGCCCCGGUUAACGCGGAUGAAAGUGCGGGCCACGGCAGGUCAGUAUGCCCCGAAUCCCCUGGGCCACACGCGGGCUGCAAUGGCGGGAACAAUGAGUUGCGACACCGAAAGGUGAAGCUAAUCUCCUAAAUCCCGUCUCAGUCGGGAUCGAGGGCUGCAACCCGCCCUCGUGAACAUGGAAUCCCUAGUAACCGCGUGUCAUCAUCGCGCGGUGAAUACGUCCCUGCUCCUUGCACACACCGCCA
rnacentral:rRNA from 1 species